rnacentral:rRNA from 1 species
AUGCCGCCCAUGGCGGCGGGGGCGCCGGAUCUGGCGCUGGGCCACGCCCAGCGGGAGGACCGGCUAGUGGUGGGUGGCUACUCUGGACAGGAGUGGAGCACCUUAAGAAGACGGGGGAGGGAGAUCCUUCGCCGUGCUCGUGAUCCGGAGGCUUGCCUACGUCAUAUGCGGGAUAAAGUGAGUAAGUUUUUCAAUUCAGAGCUGGGCAAGGGGGAUUUGAAGGUGGCCAUGGCUGUGAUGACCGACGCGGUGACAGAGGCGGAGUUCACGGCCUCUGAUUUUGCCAUGAAAGAUGCGGAUCCGGCGAGUAAAGGGGCGGAAGAAACUGCAGUUUCCCUGUGCGUUAAAUCCAAUUUGACCACGGUUAAGGAGGGGCUCCUGUACCAGAUUAAUUUGGGGAUUAAUUCUGUUGAUUUGAGGGCGAAAUUUGGGGGUGAAGACAAGUAUUUGAGGGGCGAGUUUCAGGUUAUGCAGCAGGCCAUUUUUCAGUUUCAGCAAGUGUGUUCGUUUCCUGCUCUCUGUUCUUUGUGUCUGAACCAGGUGAACCAGGGGAGGAUGGCAUCCGACAGGGAUCAGCAGCCACCCAACGUGGAAGCUACACGGCUGAAGCCUGCUGGUGCCCAGGGUGAUGAGCUCGGCACUCCGGCGGUGGACUUGUCCACCCCCCUGCCACAGAGGGGAACCGCUGCUGUUGGGGGUCCGACUGGACUGAUGCUGUCCAUCACCCCCAGCGCCACCAUUGGCUUCUCGGCAGUCCCAUAA